AUUAGGGGAAAGGGUUUUGAAGAAAAGAAUACACAGACUGGGAAAAAAAGCCCAGAUGAAAGUCCAGAGGAGAGUGAGUGACAAGAAAGGAAGCUUGAGAGCGGCUGACAGGUGGGCUGAGCGGUGGUGCUGACGGCCGCGCGUGUGGCGGCGGGGGGCCUCCCACCCACCAAGGGCAGCACAGGCCUCGGCGGAGACGCCUCACAAGCGUGGGCAGCGGAGGAGGGAGCGGGGUGUGAGCCCCGCGCCAGGCAGCUGCGACAGGAGGCAGGCGGCGGGCGCGCGGGCUCCCAGCCAGCCUGCUUCCCAUUGGCCCUCGGGAAGCGCUCGGAGCUGUUCUUCUCUUCCUGGACGCAGCGGCUGUCCACCGGUUCCCGCGAGUCAGUUUCGAGAAAUUCCUUGCCUACCUAGCUGGGAGAGCUAGGUUGGGCUCCGGCGGCCCUCUAGAGCGCUCUUCCGGCUGGAGACUCAGGGACGAGACCCGGGGAUGAGCGGCGGAAGGCGGCGCCGGCACUGACUGGACUCCCGGCCAAGGCUACCCGCCACCGGCUGGGGAUGAGCAGGCUGGGUCAGAUGCCUUAGCCGGGUGCACGCGCCGGGCGGAGCGCGCAGGUCGGACUGUGCUCUCUCGGCGGUCCGCCCUGCGUUCGUGCCUGGCCAGUCCCAGGAUGGGCACUGGAGCCCCCGGGGCCGCGCCCGCUAGAGCCCGGCGUCCCUUCCACGUCCUGAGCUCAUGGACGGCGACUCCCGGCUGGCAGCGGCGCGCCCCCGGGCUGUGAAUGCGACUCGCUCAUCGUCCGCGCUCCCCGCCCGCCCGCCCGCCGGGACGUGGUAGGGGAUGCCUAGCUCCUCUGCGAUGGCAGUUGGCGCGCUCUCCAGUUCCCUCUUGGUCACCUGCUGCCUGAUGGUGGCUCUGUGCAGUCCGAGCAUCCCGCUGGAGAAGCUGGCCCAAGCUCCUGAGCAACCCGGCCAGGAGAAACGCGAGCACGCGUCUCGGGACAGCCCCGGGCGGGUGAGCGAGCUCGGGCGCGCCGCGAGGGACGAGGGCAGCAGUGCCCGGGACUGGAAGAGUAAGGGCAGCCGCGCGCUCGCGAGCCGGGAGGCGUGGAGCAAGCAGAAGCAGGCCUGGACUGCCCAGGGCGGGAGUGUCAAGGCCGCGGACUGGCAGGUCCGACCUCGGGGGGACACCCCGCAGGAAGAGUCCCCGGCCGCCGCCCAGGAAGCGAUCAGCCUAGAACUCGUGCCCACACCAGAGCUGCCUGAGGAAUACGCUUACCCGGACUACCGCGGCAAGGGCUGCGUGGAUGAGAGUGGCUUCGUGUAUGCGAUCGGGGAGAAGUUUGCCCCAGGUCCCUCAGCCUGCCCGUGUCUGUGUACGGAGGAGGGGCCCCUGUGCGCACAGCCAGAGUGCCCGCGGCUUCACCCGCGCUGCAUCCACGUCGACACUAGCCAGUGCUGUCCGCAGUGCAAGGAGAGGAAGAACUACUGCGAGUUCCGGGGCAAGACCUACCAGACUUUGGAGGAGUUCGUGGUGUCUCCGUGUGAGCGGUGCCGCUGUGAAGCCAAUGGUGAAGUGCUGUGCACAGUGUCGGCGUGUCCCCAGACGGAAUGUGUGGACCCCGUGUACGAGCCUGAUCAGUGCUGCCCCAUCUGCAAAAACGGCCCAAACUGCUUUGCAGAAACUGCUGUCAUCCCAGCUGGUAGAGAAGUGAAGACGGAUGAAUGCACCAUAUGUCACUGUACUUAUGAGGAGGGUACGUGGAGAAUUGAACGGCAAGCCAUGUGCACAAGACAUGAAUGCAGGCAAAUGUAGACUUCACAAUACAAAACUCUCAUGUUUUUCUAGAAUAUUUUACUAAUGUUGACAUUCUAGAUGACUCUGAGAAAUGUCAAUCAAAAAGAGAAGACUUUGGAUAAGGAGUCAAGGGAAAUGGUUGGCACUUUCCUUUUCUUGGUAACAAUUACAGCAAGAGACAGAAAUGGAUGUAUUUCAAAACAUCAAUAAGAACUUUGGACAUAAACUCCCUCUCUAAAUAAAUGUGCUAUUUUCACAAUUUCUAGCACAUUUCACACACUCAGGAUAUAGACCACAACCUCCCACCGAUCAAAUCCCUCACUGCUGUAAUGGUUGAGGACGGAUGUGACAAUCAAUUGCCAGUUCUGAUCAAAGUCAGGACAAACUGCUUUGAUGUAAAAGUUCUAACACUGGAGAAAGCUUCUAAUGAAAACAUGAUGAUACUCAAAUAAAUGCAAUCAAGUUUACAGCUUUGGUAUUUCCUUGUUGAUACCAUUUUUAAAUAAAAUGUCCUAGCCUAGGCUUUGUUUUAGGGUGUUGAGUAUUUCUGCAUCUCUCCGUGUUUCUGUGUGCUAUGACUGAGUACUGCAGUUGGCUUCUGUGGACCUGUUGUUAAAUCAGUGAUCUGAAUUGUACACACAGGAACACAGUAGCUCCAAGUGUGCUGGAAGAGGGUCUAAAAGUGAUGACUGUUGAUAUUUCACCAUAGUGUCAGACUUCACUCUCAUUUGUAAAGCGUUUACUGUUUCUGCUUUAACACACACACACACACACACACACACACACACACACACACACACACAAAACUAGGUAGAAAAAAAAACCCUAAUUUAAAUGCCUAAUUGUUAGCUGAAUCAGUUCCAUCAAUUCUAAGUGAUACUGACAAUCAGAGUAAGAAUAUUCACUCAAAGAUUCAGUAACACGAACACUUCUAUGACAAUGUGCUCUUAGUUCUGGGCCUAGUCACAGUUUAUGAUACAUGAAAUGCAUACCUGGGAUUCUAUAACAAGGUCAUAAACCCAUAAUACAGACACAACGAUAGCAAAUACAAUCAAUGAAUAAACCUGAAGUCAUUUAUUAAAUUAUUGUUGUGGUCUGUUAACUAAAAAUAAUUCUAAAUACAUCCCACUUUAGUUAGAAUUCAAUUCUCAGAAAGUAGAAAUAUUUCCCAAUUUUAUUAAUAUUUAAAAAUAUUUUAUUUGCUCACUAACAUUUACUAUUUUUCUUCAAUUUCUGGAGUUUACAUUUCAAUUUGUUUCUAGAUACAUUUAUGAAAAUGUUCAUUUCCCUAUUCUUUAUCAUUUUACAUUCUAAACUAAAUGCAAUUCUAUUUUAUUUUUAUUUCUCUAUCGGGUUAUUUAUUAUCUUAUUUAUACUCCCAAUAUCACAAAAGUAGCUAGUACCAUCUCCACUCAGGACAUUCAGAAAGUUGAGAAGAUGCCUAAUGAUUCAAUCUAGUGAAUGAAUGGGCAAGAAUUCAAGUUUGCUUUAUGCCAGAACCUGUGACACAAAGUCUUGUCAUUCAUGCUUAGACAAAUUACCUCUAGAAAUGAGACACCAUAUCCAAGCUGCUCUUUCACCUAUCCCCAAGGAGCGUAGAGAAUGAAUGGGCAGCCCCAUGCUCUCCUAAUUCAGCUGUGCAGUCCUGACACUUCCCAGUUAAGAGUCGCUCCUCACAAAGGUGUUAAUGGCCUCGUUUUCUAUCUGCCACAUCUUUUAAUUUCUGAUCAAACUGUUUCUAAAUGUCUUGUUAAAAUAGGUUUUCAAACAUUAGUAGAUUUUUAUGGUUUUGUGUUGUACUGAGUUUAUAAAAUAUGGCCAAAUUUUAUAACCCUUUUGCAAUGGUGACUUAUUUUUCCUGCUGUGGCAAGAUAGCUGACAUAGACCAUGUAAAGGAUGGAAUAUUUGUUUUAGCAUAUGGCUUUACAUGUUUUCUCUCAUGGUUGCUUUGCUCCAUGUGGCUCAGAAGGUGGUUGGGAAGGUUGUCAUCUCCUGGCAGUGAAAAGCAAAGAAAGGAAAUGACUAGAAACAAGGUGUGAUGGCCACAGGCAUGCCUCCAGGAACCUACUGCUUCCUUCAAGCCUCUCAAAGUUGCCAAUGGCUUCCAAAGCACUUCAUUCAACACAUAAGCUUAUGUCAGGCAAUAGUCAACAUGUAAGCCUGUGUGGGACACUCCAUUUUCUAAUCUUAAUGAACCAGUAUUAGCAUUUUAGAGCUAAUGAAGAAAACUAUCACUUGUUAGCAGUCACUCUGUGGCAAAUACUUCAUUUUCAAACUUUAAAUUCUAGCAUCUGCUGUUAUCACUUCUGCUGUGGGAAAAUCUCACACUGCAGGUGCAUUGUGCAAGUCUCAGUGUUAUCGCUGAGGUCAAAUCCAUCUGAAAGCCCAGAAAACCCACUUUCCUUAGGAGUCCUGGUCAAGGAAGCAAGGGGCAGUGCAGCCUCCAUGCAGCUUUCCCCCUGGGGAGCAGCUGCUAGCCUUAGUCAGUCCUUCAUUUCAUUCCACAUGUAAUAAGUGCACUUUGGGUUCUGAAUCCAGCUCAGGCCAGGGUGAGUAAGCAGUGUAUAUUCUUUGGCUCCUUAGACCAUUUACUCCAGCAUACUCCCUAAAGGCCUUAAAUCAAUGAAAAUAAGUGAUCAUGCCACAUGUCAUUCUUAACUUUUGCAUUCAGGUCAGUACCUUACAUCAGUAUCAUUUAAAAACAAUGCUUUAGCUACCUUUUUAUAUACAGUAGACAGUGGUAAAAUUGGAAGUUAACAUUAUAUAGUAGCAAUGGCUUAUGAAAAUUAAGUGCCUCUUCAAUAUGUCUUGCUUGCUUUGUUUUUACUCAAUCCUAUGAAACUUUAGAUUAAUACAAACUCAUUGCAAAGGCAUCCUGUCCAUGUUACACACUGACAGGUUUAUAAUUUUAAGUCUGUAAGUCAUAAAAAAACAACAAUAAAAAUUCUUCCCAAUCAAAAUAAUGACAGUGACUGUGGAGGUAACUUGAUUGGGAUGGACCCUCCAGUACCAGGGUCCAUGUCCAUCAGCCAUGGCCACAUGUCUUUUUUAUUUCUGGCCCAGGAAUGUAAUCCUGCUUACAAUAAGUAUGGCUUCAAUAAAAGUUGUUGAUAGAAAAAUACUAUUUUUAUGUAUUUUUUUGUAGGCUACAUGUUAAUUAUAGCCAACUGAUACAUUAAAAAUUCACACAUGUGUAUAUAACCCUUAAAUCAGAAACAGAAAAGGAUUUCUAUUUAAGCCAAGACUAAAUGUCUUUAAAAUAUACAAAGUGGGCUUUUUUUUUGUACACUAAAGAAUAUAACUACAGUUGAAAGAACAAAUCACAUUAUAAAGAGGAAAACAAGUGGUUACUUUUGGGGAAUGGAGAUGUUAAAUUUUAGAUCAGUACAGAUAAGUGGUGCAUUAAAAUCCUUUAAACCAUUGGCAAGAAUCAUUUGUGAAAUUCAAUAAUAUUAAUACAUACUGAGCCCCUUUGGGAAACAAACAAAAGUCAGUUUGGUGGGAUGGGGUCAGAACUCAGCCAACAGACUAGAAGGCGUCACGAGGUUUUCUCAUCCUUGGCCUUGGUCUUACUGCACAUUUACAGAAUCAGUGCCUCCAGAAACAAGGCCGGGUCACUGUUACAGCAUCUGGACCAUGAAGAGUCUUCAUAAUGUUUGUUGUCUCCUUGACUGGGUGUCUGAGUCUAGUCUAUCACUCAGCUUACGCAGUGCACAUUACCUACCUCUUUGUAACUCAGUGUUCAUCUGCAAAAUGGGAUGAGAGCACCAGCUCCUGAGAUGAUUAAAUGAAUGAGUAUUUCAAACAUAGAAUGCGAUAGAUGACAUUUAUAAAGCACAAGUUAUACAUUAGCAUUCAUUAGCUAGAUAAUUGGAAAUUUGAAGAGACUGAGAUUUAAAAGUUUUAGAGAUUCUAAUUCAGUGAGUAUGAUUUACAUAAUAUCCUAUUUUUUAUCCAUUCAUGUGUUGUGUCUGCCUGGAAAAUGUUUUUGUAUUACUAUAACUUUACAUGGAGCUAAAUUUAUACCAUCAGGCCUACUUUGUAUAUGUUGUUGGAUGAGUACAUAUGUGAGAAACUGAUUUACAAAAUAAAUUAUUUAUCAAAUGCAUUUCGCACUUCCAGGUAGAGUCACUUUUAAAAUGUUUCUCAGUCUGUUAAAACACUUUAAGUGAGGUCAAUAAAAAGUACUAUUAAAAUA